rnacentral:snoRNA from 1 species
AUGCAGGUUAAGUUACAAUGUAGCUGUGAAGUGCUGUAUUGUCGUUCCCCCUGCAAAAAGGAAAGUGUUUCCUACUAUCCCUGUCUGCUUGGAUCCCACAGCAGGCAGGGACGCUUGGCUUCAUACAG